GAGCUUCCGUUGAAUGACGUGCUUGCACUGAUUUCAACAAUGAAGCGAGUGGCGAACUGGUGAGUAACACGUGGGGAAUCUGCCCAGAAGCAGGGGAUAACACUUGGAAACAGGUGCUAAUACCGUAUAACAACAAAAUCCGCAUGGAUUUUGUUUGAAAGGUGGCUUCGGCUAUCACUUCUGGAUGAUCCCGCGGCGUAUUAGUUAGUUGGUGAGGUAAAGGCCCACCAAGACGAUGAUACGUAGCCGACCUGAGAGGGUAAUCGGCCACAUUGGGACUGAGACACGGCCCAAACUCCUACGGGAGGCAGCAGUAGGGAAUCUUCCACAAUGGACGAAAGUCUGAUGGAGCAAUGCCGCGUGAGUGAAGAAGGGUUUCGGCUCGUAAAACUCUGUUGUUAAAGAAGAACACCUUUGAGAGUAACUGUUCAAGGGUUGACGGUAUUUAACCAGAAAGCCACGGCUAACUACGUGCCAGCAGCCGCGGUAAUACGUAGGUGGCAAGCGUUGUCCGGAUUUAUUGGGCGUAAAGCGAGCGCAGGCGGUUUUUUAAGUCUGAUGUGAAAGCCUUCGGCUUAACCGGAGAAGUGCAUCGGAAACUGGGAGACUUGAGUGCAGAAGAGGACAGUGGAACUCCAUGUGUAGCGGUGGAAUGCGUAGAUAUAUGGAAGAACACCAGUGGCGAAGGCGGCUGUCUAGUCUGUAACUGACGCUGAGGCUCGAAAGCAUGGGUAGCGAACAGGAUUAGAUACCCUGGUAGUCCAUGCCGUAAACGAUGAGUGCUAAGUGUUGGAGGGUUUCCGCCCUUCAGUGCUGCAGCUAACGCAUUAAGCACUCCGCCUGGGGAGUACGACCGCAAGGUUGAAACUCAAAGGAAUUGACGGGGGCCCGCACAAGC
rnacentral:rRNA from 2 species